CUUGACAUCCCGAUGCUAUUUCUAGAGAUAGAAAGUUACUUCGGUACAUCGGUGACAGGUGGUGCAUGGUUGUCGUCAGCUCGUGUCGUGAGAUGUUGGGUUAAGUCCCGCAACGAGCGCAACCCCUAUUGUUAGUUGCCAUCAUUCAGUUGGGCACUCUAGCGAGACUGCCGGUAAUAAACCGGAGGAAGGUGGGGAUGACGUCAAAUCAUCAUGCCCCUUAUGACCUAGGCUACACACGUGCUACAAUGGUUGGUACAACGAGUUGCGAGUCGGUGACGGCGAGCUAAUCUCUUAAAGCCAAUCUCAGUUCGGAUUGUAGGCUGCAACUCGCCUACAUGAAGUCGGAAUCGCUAGUAAUCGCGGAUCAGCACGCCGCGGUGAAUACGUUCCCGGGCCUU
rnacentral:rRNA from 1 species